rnacentral:rRNA from 1 species
GACCUGAGAGGGUGAUCGGCCACACUGGAACUGAGACACGGUCCAGACUCCUACGGGAGGCAGCAGUAGGGAAUCUUCCGCAAUGGGCGAAAGCCUGAUGGAGCAACGCCGCGUGAGUGAUGAAGGUCUUCGGAUCGUAAAACUCUGUUAUCAGGGAAGAACAUAUGUGUAAGUAACUGUGCACAUCUUGACGGUACCUGAUCAGAAAGCCACGGCUAACUUCGUGCCAGCAGCCGCGGUAAUACGUAGGUGGCAAGCGUUAUCUGGAAUUAUUGGGCGUAAAGCGCGCGUUGGCGGUUUUUUAAGUUUGAUGUGAAAGCCCACGGCUCAACCGUGGAGGGUCCUUGGAAACUG